rnacentral:rRNA from 1 species
UUAUCUCUGUAGAGUCUGCAUAUCAAUAAGCGGAGGAAAAGAAACUAACUAGGAUUCCCUUAGUCACGGCGAGUGAAGCGGGAAGAGCUCAAAUUUGAAAUCUUCAAGGUUUUACCUUGACGAAUUGUAGUUUAAAGAAGUGUUUUCUGUUGGAUGUUUUGGUAAAAGUUCUUUGGAAUAGGACAUCAUAGAGGGUGAGAAUCCCGUAUUUGACCAUUACUUCCAGCUUUGUGAUACACUUUCAAAGAGUCGGAUUGUUUGGGAAUGCAGUCCAAAAUGGGUGGUAAAUUUCAUCUAAAGCUAAAUAUUGGCGAGAGACCGAUAGCGAACAAGUACCGUGAGGGAAAGAUGAAAAGAACUUUGAAAAGAGAGUUAAACAGUACGUGAAAUUGUCAAAAGGGAAGCGUUUGACACCAGUGUUGUUUUCUCGAAAAUCAAUUAAAAAAAGUUGGAUUUUGUAUUGUUAAGACCUUAUCAGCUUACUGUACUCUUUUCUUGUCUUUUUUUAAUGCACUUUUCGUUUAACAAGUCAACAUCAAUUUCUUUUGUUGUAAAAGGAGUCAUUGGAAGGUGGCUUUCCUUUCGGAUGAAAGUGUUUAUAGCCUUUGGCUUCUGCAAUCGGAGAGAUUGAGGUCUGCAGCGUAGAUCCUUCGGGGCUAGAUACAUUAGAUGCUAAGCUAUAGCUUUUUAUAGACAACUUGUUGACUAUGAUUAAGUCAUGUAGCUUACUCGUUUGCGCUAUUUUACCUACGCUUAGGAUGUUGAUAGUCACAGCGUGUAC